AGAGUUUGAUCAUGGCUCAGAACGAACGCUGGCGGCAGGCCUAACACAUGCAAGUCGAGCGCGCCUUCGGGUGAGCGGCGGACGGGUUAGUAACGCGUGGGAACGUGCCCUUCUCUACGGAAUAGCCUCUGGAAACGGAGAGUAAUACCGUAUACGCCCUUUGGGGGAAAGAUUUAUCGGAGAAGGAUCGGCCCGCGUUAGAUUAGGUAGUUGGUGGGGUAACGGCCUACCAAGCCUACGAUCUAUAGCUGGUUUUAGAGGAUGAUCAGCAACACUGGGACUGAGACACGGCCCAGACUCCUACGGGAGGCAGCAGUGGGGAAUCUUAGACAAUGGGGGCAACCCUGAUCUAGCCAUGCCGCGUGAGUGAUGAAGGCCUUAGGGUCGUAAAGCUCUUUCGCCUGUGAUGAUAAUGACAGUAGCAGGUAAAGAAACCCCGGCUAACUCCGUGCCAGCAGCCGCGGUAAUACGGAGGGGGUUAGCGUUGUUCGGAAUUACUGGGCGUAAAGCGCGCGUAGGCGGAUUAGAAAGUUGGGGGUGAAAUCCCGGGGCUCAACCCCGGAACUGCCUCCAAAACUGCUAGUCUAGAGGUCGAGAGAGGUGAGUGGAAUUCCGAGUGUAGAGGUGAAAUUCGUAGAUAUUCGGAGGGACACCAGUGGCGAAGGCGGCUCACUGGCUCGAUACUGACGCUGAGGUGCGAAAGUGUGGGGAGCAAACAGGAUUAGAUACCCUGGUAGUCCACACCGUAAAC
rnacentral:rRNA from 1 species